rnacentral:rRNA from 1 species
ACUGCGCAGAGAUAUGGAGGAACACCAGUGGCGCANGCGACUUUCUGGUCUGUAACUGACGCUGAUGUGCGAAAGCGUGGGGAUCAAACAGGAUUANAUACCCUGGUAGUCCACUCCGUAAACGAUGACUGCUAAGUGUUAGGGGGUUUCCGCCCCUUANUGCUGCAGCUAACGCAUUAAGCACUCCGCCUGGGGAGUACGACCGCAAGGUUGAAACUCAAA